ensembl:lncRNA
UGGAGUAGAUGGCAGAUGCUACAGUCUCAGUCUUGGAGACAAUAGUGCCUGGUAAGAAGUAUGGCUCACUGCAGGGGAGAAUGUCCCUAUUGAACAGUAAAGGUGACACAGUCUCCAAAUAGAUUUGAGAUUCUGGCUCAGAUCAGUCUGAAGAGAACUGACUUCCAGCAGUGGGGUACUUAUAAAGGACAGAGGAUGGCAGGCCAUUGUGAGGGCCAUGAGCUAGGGACAAUAUGAUCCCCACAGGACUGGGUUUUAGGAGCCAGAUCCCCUAGUCUGUGAGCCCGUAUGUCUCAGCCAGUACCUGACAGUGUAGUGAUGUUGCCCAACUAGGAGGAAGGUCUCAACUGGCCUGCCUCUUUAUAAGGAUCUCUCUUAAUAUUCACCCAAAUUAUAGAGAUGGGCAAGAGGGAAAGCAAAUUUCAUUCAUCUCGAGAAGACUGUCAGAAAUGUCCUCUCCAGGUGAUUGUAAGCACCUUGUUCCUGCAGGAAGAAGCCUGUAGUAGGGUCAAACAUUCCUCUGCUAGAUUAAAUCCUAAUGCUCUUAGAAUGGUUAAUAUCAGAAGAACUUGUUGAAUGCCUAUGGUUGGUCUUAGCCUCUUGGGUGCCUAUGAUUAGAAUCUUGAUAGAGUCACGUGGGAUGCCUCAAUCUUGAGAUUAGGACCAGGCUGCACUCAACUUUGCUUUUCUUUUUUGUAAUUUUGGUCUUUAAGCUGAAGCAUCACAGAACUCUGGAAAAGGAACAGAAUGAAGCAAGAUCCUGCUGCACAAAAGUUCUCUUUUCUCAACAUGUUUUUGCCAGAUGUUUCCACACAAAAAAGUGUAAAGGCAAAGGUUUUUUGUGCAUUGGUGCAUAUGACUUCAUCCUUAAUGACUGCCUCAAAAUGCUCCCCCUCCUUAAUUAAGAGAAUUAGUUCCUCCUCCCCCCACCUCCAACCCCCCCAACCCUUCCCCACCCACCAGUUCCUGUGUCAAGAGUAUCUAUUGUCUCUUGUCUUCACAACGUCUCAGCAUUUCAGCCAUGUGUGUCUGUCCUGUGUGUCCUCAGAGGGAAUCAAACUUAGCUCCACUCAUACUCAUCCUGUCUGUUUAAAAUCCAAAAUAAACACUUAAGCUCUUUGACUGACAAAAAUUCAUUCAUGGCAAAUUAGCAUGUGAGAUGACUAUUCUCUCUCCAGAUAGCCGUACAGUUUUGUCUGAUUAAGGGAUGAGUCUACACUCUGUGAUAAGUUUGCAUCCAUAUUAGCAGUCAGGCUCUAUUUUAUUUCAGAUAAUAAGGUUUUCAGCUUUACUAGAGAAAUACUUUUGUGUGUUCUAAAAUAUUUUCCAUGCUUAUGAUCUUACCUAUCUCUGCUAUUAUCCAUGCUGAAUUUUGUAAGGUCAGUAGUGGAGAUAACCUUAGAAAAUCUGAUUUGGCCCCUUUAUUUGGUAUCUAGCAAAAGAGAGGGAGUUGCCCCAAUCAUACAUAUGAUUAGUAAAGACAUCUUGACUCUCAUUCUCUACUCCACAUCUGUUAAUAACAGAUGGUACUGAAUUUUCAUGUGGAAACCCAAAACAAAAUAACAAAAUUCCUUCAUCUUUUAUUAAUAUCAGUUACAUUGGCACUGAGGAUGAUGCCUACAUACACUCCCAACCAGUGGCAAGUCAAUGUUUUGCUCCAACUAUGUCAUGAGUUGGGCUAACGUAGCCACACUUUCAUUUAAUACACUUG